rnacentral:rRNA from 1 species
ACCUGCCCAAGAGACUGGGAUAACACCUGGAAACAGAUGCUAAUACCGGAUAACAACACUAGACGCAUGUCUAGAGUUUGAAAGAUGGUUCUGCUAUCACUCUUGGAUGGACCUGCGGUGCAUUAGCUAGUUGGUAAGGUAACGGCUUACCAAGGCAAUGAUGCAUAGCCGAGUUGAGAGACUGAUCGGCCACAUUGGGACUGAGACACGGCCCAAACUCCUACGGGAGGCAGCAGUAGGGAAUCUUCCACAAUGGACGAAAGUCUGAUGGAGCAACGCCGCGUGAGUGAAGAAGGGUUUCGGCUCGUAAAGCUCUGUUGGUAGUGAAGAAAGAUAGAGGUAGUAACUGGCCUUUAUUUGACGGUAAUUACUUAGAAAGUCACGGCUAACUACGUGCCAGCAGCCGCGGUAAUACGUAGGUGGCAAGCGUUGUCCGGAUUUAUUGGGCGUAAAGCGAGUGCAGGCGGUUCAAUAAGUCUGAUGUGAAAGCCUUCGGCUCAACCGGAGAAUUGCAUCAGAAACUGUUGAACUUGAGUGCAGAAGAGGAGAGUGGAACUCCAUGUGUAGCGGUGGAAUGCGUAGAUAUAUGGAAGAACACCAGUGGCGAAGGCGGCUCUCUGGUCUGCAACUGACGCUGAGGCUCGAAAGCAUGGGUAGCGAACAGGAUUAGAUACCCUGGUAGU